AUUGAACGCUGGCGGCAGGCCUAACACAUGCAAGUCGAACGAGUGGCGGACGGGUGAGUAAUGUCUGGGAAACUGCCCGAUGGAGGGGGAUAACUACUGGAAACGGUAGCUAAUACCGCAUACCAUCGGAUGUGCCCAGAUGGGAUUAGCUAGUAGGUGGGGUAAUGGCUCACCUAGGCGACGAUCCCUAGCUGGUCUGAGAGGAUGACCAGCCACACUGGGACAGAGACACGGUCCAGACGCCUACGGGAGGCAGCAGUGGGGAAUAUUGCACAAUGGGCGCAAGCCUGAUGCAGCCAUGCCGCGUGUGUGAAGAAGGCCUUCGUGUUGGAAAGCACUUUCAGCGGGGAGGCGUUACCCGCAGAAGAAGCACCGGCUAACUCCGUGCCAGCAGCCGCGGUAAUAC
rnacentral:rRNA from 1 species